rnacentral:rRNA from 1 species
UACGAAGGGGCUAGCGUUGCUCGGAAUCACUGGGCGUAAAGGGUGCGUAGGCGGGUCUUUAAGUCAGGGGUGAAAUCCUGGAGCUCAACUCCAGAACUGCCUUUGAUACUGAAGAUCUUGAGUUCGGGAGAGGUGAGUGGAACUGCGAGUGUAGAGGUGAAAUUCGUAGAUAUUCGCAAGAACACCAGUGGCGAAGGCGGCUCACUGGCCCGGUACUGACGCUGAGGUGCGAAAGCGUGGGAGCAAACAGG